rnacentral:rRNA from 1 species
CAAUAGCGUAUAUUUAAGUUGUUGCAGUUAAAAAGCUCGUAGUUGGAUUUCGGAUGGGACUUGCCGGUCCGUCGUUUCGAUGUGCACUGGCCGGUCCUAUCUUGUUGUCGGGGACUAGCUCCUGGGCUUCACUGUCCGGGACUAGGAGCUGACGAGGUUACUUUGAGUAAAUUAGAGUGUUCAAAGCAAGCCUACGCUCUGAAUACAUUAGCAUGGAAUAACACGAUAGGACUCUGGCUUAUCUUGUUGGUCUGUGAGACCAGAGUAAUGAUUAAGAGGGACAGUCGGGGGCAUUCGUAUUUCAUUGUCAGAGGUGAAAUUCUUGGAUUUAUGAAAGACGAACUUCUGCGAAAGCAUUUGUCAAGGAUGUUUUCAUUAA